GCCUCACCAGUCGUGCAUUUUGUCAGUGCAAACUGUAAUGGGAAAUAUUAGUUGCGGAACUAGUUUACUGACUAGAAAUAUAAAUAUGUAUUUCAUUUACUCCACAGCCCGCGUGCGUCAGAGGAUCCCGACCGUUUGUCUUCCUGAUGUGUCGUUUCCUCCGUUGUCCCGAAACAUCUCUUAUUAGCUCACUCGCCUGUCGCACAAGUUCUGUUUGACCGACGUGACACAUCGACUAAAAGGGAUCCAGAAUGAAUAGCGAGCGGCCGGAACCGUGAGCACACAACGUGCUUAAAAAGGAAAGGCAAUAAGACGUGAAGGGCUGCGGAUGUGGAUGUAACAGGAAUUCAGGUCCACGUGUUUGUUCCCUGGAUCGAUUUGUAAACGGGGGCUAAACCCGGGUUCAAGCACCCGGAUUGUGCUGGAGGUGAUUCCACUUUGCUCAUCUGACUCCUUCAUCUAACGAUUCCAAUGUAUUUAUUAUCAUUUGAGAGCCACGGAAGAUGCCAACAUCUACGAAGGAGGCCUCAAUGAGGAAGUAUUUCAAUACUCUCUGAUAAACCAACUCUUUUAAAGGAUACAGUCCUAAAUACUCAUUCGUUGAGGCGAACCUCUCUCUGCCGCCACAUGCGAACUCCCGGAGCUCCAGCAGAGGCCAGUAGGGCGACACCGAAGGGAAACGCAGAGAAACGUCCCGGCGAGUCCCACAGUCGGACAGUUGCCUCUGUAGAAACCAGCGGCGCUCGUUUGAGUGAACGAGUUCCUGAGCAGCCGCGUUUUGUUUGGCGGCGUUUGCACAGGCAACAAUUACAGGAAGCACGUCUUUAGUUCAUGAGGCUAUUUCGGAAAGAAAACACGUUUGAAAAACAGUUUGUGCUUUCAGAGAUUGAAAGAACGUUUUCUCAUGUGGUGUAACGAAACGCAAACACGCAUCAUCAGCUUAAGUAAAAGCUGAGCUCCUCUUGGCACAGUUGGACCGUUCUGUCUGACACAUGAGAGAAAUACGGGAUAUGUAAUAACGCAGAAAAGGCCUCUGCACCUCGGAGCAUUGUUCUCUUUUCAACCCUGGACAUCAAAGCCCGGCGCUUCGACAGGAGAUGCGUUUUCCUUCCUUCAGCUGUGUUAUCGUUCAUGAUCGAUAUCAAACAGACACACGGCGUAAAUCAAACACCAGCGGGCCCGAAUCUCUUUCAAGUGCCAACAAUCUCCACCUUUCUGAAACAAUACACAUCUCUGGCAGUCGGUCUGUUUGCCAAGAGCAAGGAAGUCAGGAAGUAUUGGCCAAACAUACCCCUUCUGUAAAUAGAUGGGACACACACACACACACAUAAAAUACGGACACAAAACACAACCAGCUGCACACACACACACACACAGAUGGAGUCACUUUUGUCCACGUGCACCGGCAGGCAGCGCGUUUUCUCCCCAGAAAGCGUCGCACAAACGCAAGUGAGCUCGUCGUGCAAAAAAGCGUGCUGCCAUUCACUCGUAUUCACGCAGGAACCCGGUACAAAGCCAACAGCUCACACAGGAGGGAGGUCUGAAGUGCCCCCCAACGGGGAUUCUGUCAGACUACGAGCUGAGAAGGAGGGGGGGGGGGGGGGGCGGUCUGCAGGGGUUCACCACACUUCUGACUUGUAUGGAUACACAUUUUUCUCAAGUUCAUUUGAGCUUUUAAACGGCAACGUCGGUUUUCCUUGUGAGGCUUUUGCACGUUUGGUUUUUUAGACAAUUUAGUUUUUAUGAACAAGAAAAGUGUUACUUUACAAAGAGAGAAAUUAGUCUAAUUUAUAGAAUGGUGGGUUUUAAUAACUUAAGUUGAUACCAUCAGUUUACCCAAAUUUAGUAUAUUGAACUGAUGUAUGAAGCAAUCUGUUCUACACGAACAAAAAGGAGUACACAUAAAUAAUAAGGAAUCAUAAAGGAGACAUAACCUGUUUCAAACAGGAAUAUUAUUGCAUAAAAGUUACUGACUUUAUAAACAAACUAAAUGAAUCCACAUAAAUCAACUUAUAAGCUUUUUACAGAGCUGCCCUGGUCUUCAUUGGUGGAUGGAGUUGGUUACCAUGGAGACUGUGGAGAUCCACUCGAUACAACAGAAGGUACCAUGUUUCCCUCUAACACGUGGUGGAGAAGCUUGAACCACAGCUUUUAAUAGGAGUAAUUAUCAGGGAGACAUCUUCCGUUCCAAAUGGACGCGCCUCUCGUCCCCUGUCGUCUCCUGCAGGACGCGAGGCCACACAGAGCGUCCUCCUCCGUGCCUCCAUCAUUGUGACUUCUUUCCUCGUAUUGUAAACUCGCCCUGCGGCGUCCCAGCAGAAGAGAACGCCGCGGGGGCCUUUUCCCAGCAAAAAGGAAACGGCGUUUUCCGCAGGAAACGCCGUUUCUCCCGGGUCUUUUCAAGGACGUGGGGGGGUUUGUUUGCUUCCAUGGAGUUCUCUCAGAUAAGCCCAAAUAGUCUGUUUUUUUUUUAUCUUCACAUCCCUGCGGCGUCACAACGCUGCUCCACACGCCGUCCCCGCCGUCCCCGCCGUCCCCUACCGCCGCCAUGUUUGUUUGUCUUCUGACGCUUUUGUUACUCGUGGAGGAGGGAAAACUUGCAUUUUGCAUCUACAAAAGUUUGUUUGAGAGAGUCGGCUCUUAUCUGUGGUGCUCCUGAGGGCAGGAAGUGAGGAGCCGGGGGGUGAAGAAAAGAAAGCUGCUGCUAAUGUAAUAUAAUAGACAUCCCAAAAAGUGCAGGAGGUUGUGGAGUCUGCAGGAGAGGUUAGAUCAGGAGGAAGUGAGGUUUCCCUCUGGGAUUCAACGGGAAAACACGGGCAAAACUAAACCUGAGUCAUGCAGGAAAUAUAAAAAUACGUUGAUUUACUCCUUUAGAGGGAAGUUGAAGGUCGUGGUGCGUUCAGGUGUUAAGUAGCUGUCCCUGCUGGUUUGUCUAGCCUACUAUUAGAUAUCGGCCUUUGAAUUUCACACAUAAGUAGCCAAUGAGUAAAAAAACACCACCCCACUCUUUGUGUCACUUGUUAAUAAUUCACUUUUCUUCACUCCCAACAUGGUUCAGAGUGCCGUAAAAGAUUAUUGAACAUCAAACUAAGCUACCUGUUUUCUUCUAGUAUUUUGUGCUAAGCUAAUGAGCCGCCAUGACACGAGAGCGCUUUCAAUCUCCUCAUCCAGCUGCAAGAAAGAGAAUAAACACGUUCCCUGUAUUCGGCUUGAGCGCGCUGGAGCUCCUCCACCUGCAGUCCGCGCACAGCUUCUCCUGAACAGAAGGUGUGCGCGUGUCCUCCGGCCGCCUCUGAUCGAUGGUGACAGCUCUAAUCCAGUGUCGAUCCCCAGCAGUCCGCCGCUAACCCCCCGCCCGCCGACCCCUCAACCACGCCGCCGCCACAUCAGCACCCCCGCUCCGGCUGCACUGCAGCGCCGCCUUCACUUUUCAACCCUCUGCUUUGUUCGUUCCUCUUCGCCGUGAAUCUCGGCUCUCACGUGGGGUCACCGUCAACCCCCCUCUCUCGACCCCGGUAACCCGUGUACGAACCUGUGUUUUUUCCUUGUUCAGGUUAGGGUUUGUGAACGUUACCAUUUCCAUUUUGAGCAUCGAGGCCUCAUUUUAGCUGGGCGGUGAAACACUGCGUCACGCAUUUAGUUUAGUUCAUGGUGAGACAUGUCUGGCGGUUUGCCACGUGUGACAAUUUGUAUUCCAUUUUUCUGCAAAAGGCAACUCACCACACAAGACAAGUGCUUGUUUGAAAAGCAGCAUAAAAAAAACAUGGCACUGGCGCAGGAAAAAUAAGAAGUUGUUUGCCUAACCACAAUUUCUAUUCCACCACAAUGGCAAUUACGCCAAUUUGUUACAUGACUAGAAGCAGCGACGCAAAGUAUUUCCUCCCUCUCUGCUCGCAAAUAAUUACGCUCUGAGUCACCGCGAUGGAGUGUGUUUGAGCAGCCGGCCGAGCUGCUGUUGUGCAGUUGAGUAGUUGUGUGCUUUGUUCGUGUGUCUUUUUUCCGUUGUGGCCUCUUAUAAUUGACUUUUAAUCCCCAAAAAAUCUGAUUAGAUGCAAUGUUGAAUGUGAUCUGCUGGAUGUUUAAAAAGGCCCCUUGUGACGCUCGUGAUGUUCAAAGCUUCUUCUGCUGCCCCCAAGUGGCCAAAAAACAAACACUUCUACUCUGUUGUUCAUCUUUAGAUGAUGCUGUAUUGCUCGUUAUAAGCUUAAUACUUGCACUGGUUUCUUAUGUAAAAUAAGCUACUCGGUAACCGAAGCGAUACAAGGGGGGCGAUAAACGUCAUAAACGUGUGAUUAAAAUCCAGCCCUGUGAGGCGGCUGCACGCUCGCACCUCUUUGUAGCGCAGACGUUCUCUCAGUUGUCACCGACGAACACGUUGAAGCCGUUUUGAAAAAUGGUUUUGGCAGCUUCCUGCUAGCGUUUCUGGCCAUUAGAAGAGGAGCAUCUGGGAAAUGAGAUCACUGUGCUCUCGCCCGCGUAUCCCUGUCACCCUUCCAGCGCUCAACAUAUGGCUUUUGUGAGCACAUUUUAAAGAAGACUUUGCCAAAGCAGAAUCAAGUUGUGCAGACAUUCCCAUGUGUGGGAGCACUGAGUUUGUUUGAUUCCACCUCUCUUUGCACAGGUAUGUUCACCACUAACUCUUUCUUUGGGAGACAUCACAUACUACAUGGAAGCUACUGAGCCACCGUUUGGACGUUGCGGCCUCUGAAUGGUUGAGGGUAAAUGUGAGGAGGCGUUUCAUUGGUGACGGUAAUUGAUUUUGACAUUUUGGAAAUCAAGUUUUGAUUCAAAUCAGUAGUAGAUCAGUAGAAUACGCUCCACCUCUGAUACUUCCACCCUUUGCUCUGACAGAUCAUUUCUCCGGAGUUACUAAAAGAUGCAGCUCAGUUUAUCAGGUUUGAGGUUUUUCAAAUCCUGAACCAUAGCACUAAAACAAUAUUCAAACUGCAAGCUAAUUAUCACAAUCCAAUUAAAACAAUAGUCUGCAAUUAUAGUAUUUGCAAAUAAUCAAUCAAGUUAAAUGCUGAAAUCCAUCAGCUGUAUUUUCUUACAAUCCCCUUCUACCAACCAAACAUGGUAUUCUGAUAUUCAGUAAUGCUAAAAGGUCGACGCUAACAGGUCGAUGCUAAUACGGGGCUAAAAGCCAGAUACGCAAACAAAUGAUGCUAUAAGCUCACAGAAUUUCAUUUUGUAAUAAACCACUAAAAUGAAAUGACACACGUGAAGAGGCUUAACUUUUGCUUUGCUCUAAUAAAUCCAUAAAUCAGAACCAAAGAGAACUUCCUGAAGAUCCUGAGUGCAGGUGUGCGGCCCGUGUGUGUCUUUCCAUGUAGCGGCUGGCUAAUCAAGUAGAUCGUCAUUGUCUGCCGGUCAGAGGGGCGAGACUCGUGCGUCCCGAAGCGUCCCGAAGCGUCCCGGAGCGUCCCGAAGCGUCCCGAAGCGUCCCGAAGCGUCCCGCGGCCCAAAGGAGGAGGGGGGGGCUGCUGGGAGCUCCGCGGCCGUCGGGAAU
ensembl:lncRNA